UACCAAAAAAAAUUAUUUAAUUGAAAAAUCACAAGAAACCUUUUUUAUUUACUUAUGAUAUCAUUGCCAAAACUUGAGCUUUGAAUGAAUUUUAAUUUUUAGGAGUUUUUUUGCUGUAGUUUAGUUAUAAAUAAGUUUAAAGACUUGAAACUUGGUAAUAUUACUUAUAUUGGACUUACCUAGAGGUGGUAAAAUGUCCAAAAUCAUCUGACAACUGUUUUUUUUCUUUUAAUAAGCAUUUUAAAUUAAAUUUAAACGAAAAUCACAAAAAAAAUUAUGGCACUUCAAAUUAUGUAUUAUUGAACUGUGCUUGGAAUCAUCUUUCAUCAAGCAAUGGUUUAUUGUUGCUUACAGAUAUAAAUGAAAUAACCUUAUGUAUCCUACCUUCCCAACUUCUCACCUACAACAAUGGUUGCUCCCAUCCCCAGUAUCUGCUUUUUUUUUUUUUUUGCAUAUUUGAAGUAUAUUAAAUGUUUAUU